UCCUGGCUCAGAUUGAACGCUGGCGGCAUGCCUUACACAUGCAAGUCGAACGGCAGCACGGGUGCUUGCACCUGGUGGCGAGUGGCGAACGGGUGAGUAAUACAUCGGAACAUGUCCUGUAGUGGGGGAUAGCCCGGCGAAAGCCGGAUUAAUACCGCAUACGAUCUACGGAUGAAAGCGGGGGACCUUCGGGCCUCGCGCUAUAGGGUUGGCCGAUGGCUGAUUAGCUAGUUGGUGGGGUAAAGGCCUACCAAGGCGACGAUCAGUAGCUGGUCUGAGAGGACGACCAGCCACACUGGGACUGAGACACGGCCCAGACUCCUACGGGAGGCAGCAGUGGGGAAUUUUGGACAAUGGGCGAAAGCCUGAUCCAGCAAUGCCGCGUGUGUGAAGAAGGCCUUCGGGUUGUAAAGCACUUUUGUCCGGAAAGAAAUCCUUGGUUCUAAUAUAACCGGGGGAUGACGGUACCGGAAGAAUAAGCACCGGCUAACUACGUGCC
rnacentral:rRNA from 1 species